UCUAACCCUCCGGCCAGAAGGUGGAACUACUGUGCCUUUGCAGAAACUCUACAUGAAGCUUAUCCACGAAUGGUAUGGAAAGAAAAGGAACUUCAGCAGCUUGGAUGGAUUGGGUUCAUGCGUUCAGUCAGCAGCUCAAGAAAGACCCGGAAAUUGCGAAUUAAACCACGUUUUGCACUGACCUCUAACACUUCUGAACAAACAACUGAUAUCUCGUGCGCUGAAGCACAGCGUGAGCUAAGGGCAAUUUCAGAA
rnacentral:lncRNA from 1 species